GACUUUGAAAGAUUGGGGUGCGUCUUUUGCGAUUUCUUUCGUUUUCUCUUCCCAAUCUUUCAAAGUC
ensembl:ncRNA ZK507.7 ncRNA